AUGGAUGUUAAGACUGCUUUCCUAAAUGGAGAGUUGGACGAGGACAUUUAUAUGGAACAACCAGAUGGGUUUGUACUAGAUGGUCAGGUCAAGGAUUUCCUAUCUCAUUGUUUUGAGAUGAAGGAUUUAGGAGUGGCUGAUGUCAUUCUGAACAUCAAGUUGUUGAGAGACGAUGAUGGUGGGAUUACUUUGCUUCAAUCUCACUAUGUGGAAAAGAUCUUGAGUCGCUUUGGCUAUAGUAACUGCAAGCCCUCUCCAACACCAUAUGAUGCCAAACUGAGUCGGUUUGUUUCAAAACCAGGAGAAGUGCAUUGGAAAGCUCUAGAAAGAGUUUUGCGUUAUUUGAAAGGCACUGCAAAUUAUGGAAUUCACUACACCGGGCAUCCAAAGGUGCUUGAAGGGUAUAGUGACUCAAACUGGAUCUCAGAUGCUGAUGAGAUAAAGGCCACGAGUGGUUAUGUAUUCACUCAUGGAGGUGGCGCUGUUUCUUGGAAGUCUUGCAAGCAGACCAUCUUAAUGAGGUCAACAAUGGAAGCAGAACUCACAGCACUAGAUACAGCUACGGUUGAAGCAGAUUGGCUUCGCCGGCUCUUGAAUGACUUGCCGGUUGUUGAGAAACCUGUACCGGGUGUCCUUAUGAACUGCGACAAUCAAACUGUGAUCACGAAAGUGAGCAGUUCAAAGGAUAACAUGAAGUCAUCAAGACAUGUUCAGAGAAGGUUAAAGUCUGUCAGGAAAAUGAAAAACUCCGGAGUUAUUGCGUUGGAUUAUAUCCAAACGUCUAAAAAUCUGGCAGAUCCUUUUACUAAGGGUCUAUCACGUAAUGUGAUAGAUAAUGCAUCGAGGGAGAUGGGUAUGAGACCCACAAUAUGA
rnacentral:rRNA from 1 species